rnacentral:tRNA from 1 species
GGUUCCGUAGCUUAGAGGGAAGAAGCACUUGUCUAGGGAAUUGGGAUUCGUGGGUUCGAUUCCCACCGGGCACG